rnacentral:rRNA from 1 species
ACGGGGUGCAGCAGGCGCGAAAACUUUACAAUGCGAGCAAUCGUGAUAAGGAAACCCUGAGUGCCUGUCAAUGCAGGCUGUUCUGGUGUCUAACACCCACCAGGAGAAAGGGCGGGGCAAGACCGGUGCCAGCCGCCGCGGUAAUACCGGCUGCUCGAGUGAUAGCCGCUUUUACUGGGCUUAAAGCGUUCGUAGCUUGUCCUUAAGUCUCUGGGGAAAUCUUCUGGCUCAACCAGAAGGGGUCUCAGGGAAACUGGCGAUCUAGGAACCGGGAGAGGUGAAACCUACUUCGGGGGUAGGAAUGAAAUCUUGUAAUCCCCCAGGGACCACCGAUGGCGAAAGCAUCUCACCAGAACGGCUUCCACAGUGAGGGACCAAAGCUGGGGGAACAAACCGGAUUAAAUACCCGGGUAGUCCCAGCCGUAAACCAUGUGCGUUAGGUGUGUCGGUGACCACCAAUCGCCCAAGUGCCCAAAGGAAACCGUGAAACCCACCGCCUGGGAAGUACCGUCGCAAGGCUG